rnacentral:rRNA from 1 species
UACGGAGGAUGCAAGCGUUAUCCGGAAUGAUUGGGCGUAAAGCGUCCGCAGGUGGCAAUGUAAGUCUGCUGUUAAAGAGUCUAGCUCAACUAGAUAAAAGCAGUGGAAACUACAUAGCUAGAGUACGUUCGGGGCAGAGGGAAUUCCUGGUGUAGCGGUGAAAUGCGUAGAGAUCAGGAAGAACACCAGUGGCGAAGGCGCUCUGCUAGGCCGUAACUGACACUGAGGGACGAAAGCUAGGGGGAGCGAAAGGG